rnacentral:rRNA from 1 species
GGGCUGCAGUGAGGAAUUUUGCGCAAUGGGGGAAACCCUGACGCAGCGACGCCGCGUGAGUGACGAAGGCCUUCGGGUCGUAAAGCUCUGUCAGGUGGGAAGAAAUAAGGUUGGGUUAAUAGCCCUACUUUUUGACGGUACCACCAGAGGAAGCACCGGCCAACUCCGUGCCAGCAGCCGCGGUAACACGGAGGGUGCAAGCGUUGUUCGGAAUUAUUGGGCGUAAAGAGCGUGUAGGCGGUUAGGUAAGUCAGAUGUGAAAGCCCUUGGCUCAACCAAGGAAGUGCAUCUGAAACUAUCUAACUUGAGUACGAUAAAGGGAAGUGGAAUUCCCAGUGUAGAGGUGAAAUUCGUAGAUAUUGGGAGGAACACCGGUGGCGAAGGCGGCUUCCUGGAUCGAUACUGACGCUGAGACGCGAAAGCGUGGGGAGCAAACAGGAUUAGAUACCCCUGUAGUC